rnacentral:rRNA from 1 species
AAUUCCUUGUCGGGUAAGUUCCGACCUGCACGAAUGGAGUAACGAUUUCCCUACUGUCUCCACCAUGAACUCGGUGAAAUUGCAUUACGAGUAAAGAUGCUCGUUACGCGCAGCAGGACGGAAAGACCCCGGGACCUUUACUAUAGUUUGGUAUUGGUGAUUGGGACGGUUUGUGUAGGAUAGGUGGGAGACGUUGAUGCGGCCACGCUAGUGGUGGUGGAGUCGUUGUUGAAAUACCACUCUGGUCAAUCUGGAUGUCUAACUUCGGGCCAUGAUCUGGUUCAGGGACAGUGCCUGAUGGGUAGUUUAACUGGGGCGGUUGCCUCCUAAAGUGUAACGGAGGCGCCCAAA